GAAGAAGAUGAAGAAAGUAGCUCAAUUCCAAGCCUUCUUCUCUACCAAGCUUGCUUCACCACCAAGCAAAUUCUAAUUUUUCUUUCUUCUCUAAUCCUCUCUUUGGUAAAGAGAACCAAAGAGAAAGAGAGGUCAUAAAGUCAAAGAGAAAAAGAGAGAAAACCCACCCUCUCUCUCUCCUACGGUUUGGGUAAAAGGUCAAGGAUUCACUCACACUCAUAGGAAACUUGCCCUCCAAGUAAACCCUUGAUUUGCACAAUUACACUUUAGUCCCUCUCAUAACAUAGGGAGACUUGCCCUCCAAGUAAACUCUUUUACUUGCACCAUUACACCUUAGCCCCUCUCAUUUGCACAAUU
rnacentral:lncRNA from 1 species